AAAGAAGGUCAAAGCCAAGAAGAAGAGAGCAACCCCACCAGUAGCAGAUUCAGUCUAUUCUCAAGUGAAGCCACACAAAGCCACAGGUCCUUGAGGGAGCUGGAGGGAUAAAUCACUUUGUGGGGUGAUCUGUUACAGGUCCUUGAGGGAGCUGGAGGGACACACCAUCAGAGGAGGAGCAGGAGAAA